rnacentral:rRNA from 1 species
GACGAACGCUGGCGGCGUGCUUAACACAUGCAAGUCGAACGCUGAAGCCUAGCUUGCUGGGUGGAUGAGUGGCGAACGGGUGAGUAACACGUGAGUAACCUGCCCUCUUCUUUGGGAUAACGCCCGGAAACGGGUGCUAAUACUGGAUAUUCACUGAUCUUCGCAUGGGGGUUGGUGGAAAGGUUUUUUCUGGUGGGGGAUGGGCUCGCGGCCUAUCAGCUUGUUGGUGGGGUGAUGGCCUACCAAGGCUUUGACGGGUAGCCGGCCUGAGAGGGUGACCGGUCACAUUGGGACUGAGAUACGGCCCAGACUCCUACGGGAGGCAGCAGUGGGGAAUAUUGCACAAUGGGCGAAAGCCUGAUGCAGCGACGCCGCGUGAGGGAUGGAGGCCUUCGGGUUGUAAACCUCUUUCGCUCAUGGUCAAGCCGCAGCUUUGGGUUGUGGUGAGGGUAGUGGGUAAAGAAGCGCCGGCUAACUACGUGCCAGCAGCCGCGGUAAUACGUAGGGCGCGAGCGUUGUCCGGAAUUAUUGGGCGUAAAGGGCUUGUAGGCGGUUGGUCGCGUCUGCCGUGAAAUCCUCUGGCUUAACUGGGGGCGUGCGGUGGGUACGGGCUGACUUGAGUGCGGUAGGGGAGACUGGAACUCCUGGUGUAGCGGUGGAAUGCGCAGAUAUCANNAAGAACACCGGUGGCGAAGGCGGGUCUCUGGGCCGUUACUGACGCUGAGGAGCGAAAGCGUGGGGAGCGAACAGG